AGCUGGUCUGAGUGCAGGGGUGUUUACAACUAAUUGAUCACAACCAGUUACAGAUUCCUUUAUUCCUUCUCCAUUCCCACUAGGUACUUCACAUGACUAGCCUGAA
ensembl:misc_RNA Y_RNA Y RNA